rnacentral:rRNA from 1 species
AUUGAACGCUGGCGGCAGGCUUAACACAUGCAAGUCGAGCGGGGUGAUGGUGCUUGCACUAUCACUUAGCGGCGGACGGGUGAGUAAUGCUUAGGAAUCUGCCUAUUAGUGGGGGACAACAUCUCGAAAGGGAUGCUAAUACCGCAUACGUCCUACGGGAGAAAGCAGGGGAUCACUUGUGACCUUGCGCUAAUAGAUGAGCCUAAGUCGGAUUAGCUAGUUGGUAGGGUAAAGGCCUACCAAGGCGACGAUCUGUAGCGGGUCUGAGAGGAUGAUCCGCCACACUGGGACUGAGACACGGCCCAGACUCCUACGGGAGGCAGCAGUGGGGAAUAUUGGACAAUGGGGGGAACCCUGAUCCAGCCAUGCCGCGUGUGUGAAGAAGGCCUUAUGGUUGUAAAGCACUUUAAGCGAGGAGGAGGCUCUUUUGGUUAAUACCCAAGAUGAGUGGACGUUACUCGCAGAAUAAGCACCGGCUAACUCUGUGCCAGCAGCCGCAGUAAAAC